GGGAGGCAGCAGUAGGGAAUUUUGCGCAAUGGGCGAAAGCCUGACGCAGCGACGCCGCGUGAGGGACGAAGGCCUUCGGGUCGUAAACCUCUUUUUCUAGGGAAGAACUCUGACGGUACCUAGGGAAUAAGUCACGGCUAACUACGUGCCAGCAGCCGCGGUAAUACGUAGGUGGCUAACGUUAUCCGGGUUUACUGGGCGUAAAGAGGGCGCGGGCGGUUUUGCAAGUCGGAUGUGAAAUCUCUCCACUUAAUGGGGAGUCUUCGUUUGAUACUACAAGACUUGAGGGCAGCAGAGGGAAGUGGAACUCCAGGUGUAGCGGUGAAAUGCGUAGAUAUCUGGAAGAACACCAGUGGCGAAAGCGACUUCCUGGGCUGUUCCUGACGCUGAGGUCCGAAAGUGUGGGGAGCAAAGCGGAUUAGAUACCCCAGUAGUCC
rnacentral:rRNA from 1 species